GAUGAACGCUGGCGGCGUGCCUAAUACAUGCAAGUCGAGCGAACGGACGAGAAGCUUGCUUCUCUGAUGUUAGCGGCGGACGGGUGAGUAACACGUGGAUAACCUACCUAUAAGACUGGGAUAACUUCGGGAAACCGGAGCUAAUACCGGAUAAUAUUUUGAACCGCAUGGUUCAAAAGUGAAAGACGGUCUUGCUGUCACUUAUAGAUGGAUCCGCGCUGCAUUAGCUAGUUGGUAAGGUAACGGCUUACCAAGGCAACGAUUCAUAGCCGACCGGAGAGGGUGAUCGGCCACACGAGAGCUGAGACACGGCCCAGACGCCUACGGGAGGCAGCAGUAGGGAAUCUUCCGCAAUGGGCGAAAGCCUGACGGAGCAACGCCGCGUGAGUGAUGAAGGUCUUCGGAUCGUAAAACUCUGUUAUUAGGGAAGAACAUAUGUGGAAGUAACUGUGCACAUCUUGACGGUACCUAAUCAGAAAGCCACGGCUAACUACGUG
rnacentral:rRNA from 1 species